GCUGGGUGUGGUGACGCACACCUAUGAUCCCAGCUACUUGGGAGGCUGAGGCAGGAGGAUGUCAAAUUUUUCCCCAGCCUGAACAAUUCAAUGAAACCCUGUUUCAA
rnacentral:sRNA from 1 species